AUUGAGUGGGAAUAAGAAUACAACUUAAUUUGAAGAGGGAACACCGAUUUAAAGGCAUUUAUCUUACUCAAAUAUGUAGAAAAUGCAUUAAAAAUAAUAUGGUUCCCUACCAAAAUCCCUACCAAUAAAAAAUUUUGGUAGGGAAUUUUGU
rnacentral:sRNA from 1 species